GUCCACGCCCUAAACUAUGCGGGCUCGGUGUAGGAAUUUUCAAUUGUUCCUGUGCCCAAGCUAACGCGGUAAGCCCGCCGCCUGAGAAGUACGGCCGCAAGGCUAAAACUCAAAGGAAUAGACGGGGACCCACACAAGCGGUGGAACAUGGGGUUUAAUUCUAUGGUAAACGAAGAACCUCACCCAGGCUUGACAUCUCGGGAACCCCGCAGAAAUGCGGGGGUGCCGCAAGGAACCCGAAGACAGGCGCUGCACGGUUGUCGU
rnacentral:rRNA from 1 species